rnacentral:sRNA from 1 species
ACGGCCCAAUCCACAGAUUGUAGGCCCCAACACCCAGGCCGUGCAUCGGGCUGAUGUAUAAUAUGCUUUUGGCAGAGCUUCUAUAAGGACUCAUUAUCAAUUUACAUUUAGCCGGGAAAGCAUGAAAAUAAGUACUUCAUGUAAAGCCAUUGUGCACAUAUUUGUUGCUUUAAAAAAAAAAAAAGAUUCAAUUCAUUAGGAAAAGCCAGUUCUGGCCAAAUAUUUUGAAUGGCAGCCAUUGUUAUUUUUCAUUUUCUCCUCCUUUUGCUUUCUCUGUUUCCCUGGUUUAAAGUGUGCACUCUACUAAUUUAGAAGAUGGCAGAAGCAUUCAAGAGGAGGACCUUCUGAGCAGGGCGAGGCAUUGAGUUCAGGGCAGUUUUCAUGGUAGCAUCUGCCUGUGCUGAAGCAGAAAACAGCAUCCGGGACCCCCGUGACUUGGGCACUCUCAGGGCAGCCCGCAGAUGGUUGCAUGGGGUUCAGAGACCCUUCCCACCUGGCUCCUCUUGUCUGCACCCUGCCCUGUCAGUGUGGACCUAGGGUCACACUCUGAGGCCCUGCAAAACGUCACCUGUGGGCACCUCCAGUUUUCCAGUGCUUGGUCCACAGCUCAUCUCAGCAGCUGCAUCGUCAGGGCCAUUCCCAAAGCCUCAGGUCAUGGCAGGGGCCUAGGGAGACAGCAAGGCCUUUGCCCCUUAAGCCUGAUGAAAAUUCCUAGGAGAGACUUCAGUGUCCUUAUGAAUUUCAGUGAAGCUGAGUGGGAUUAAGGUGAAAGACAGAAGCUCUAAGUGCCUUCUUCAGGGAGACAAAGCGCUGGCGAGUGCAUCAUUUAAACCGAAGAUGGAGUGAGCGCCAGCAGGCAUUGGUGGUUGUUGCUGUUCUGAUGGGAUUGCUUCGGAGAUGGCUCUUCAUGGCGGAACACGCAUGUGUCAGUGGGGUUCGGGCUGCGGGUGGUGGCUGAGUGUCCCUGUGUGUCUUUUACAGGAACAGUGUGUGGUGGAUGCAGCUCUGGAGUACGUUCCUGGCGCUCACCAGUUUGGUCUCACACAAAACAGCCAUUUCAUCUUGCCUUUUAAUCAGUCGGCUGUCAGAAAGAAGCUCUCGGUUGAGCUAAGUAUCCGCACGUUCGCCUCCAGCGGCCUGAUUUACUACAUGGCUCAUCAGAACCAAGCAGACUACGCCGUGCUCCAGCUGCACGGGGGCCGCCUCCACUUCAUGUUUGACCUUGGCAAAGGCAGAACAAAGGUCUCUCACCCUGCACUGCUCAGCGAUGGCAAGUGGCACACGGUCAAGACAGACUAUGUUAAAAGAAAAGGCUUCAUAACUGUUGACGGCCAAGAGUCCCCCAUGGUGACUGUGGUGGGAGACGGAACCAUGCUGGAUGUGGAGGGUUUGUUCUACCUUGGAGGCCUGCCCUCCCAGUACCAGGCCAGGAAAAUUGGAAAUAUCACCCACAGCAUCCCUGCCUGCAUUGGGGAUGUGAUGGUUAACAGCAAACAGCUGGACAAGGACAGCCCGGUGUCUGCCUUCACGGUGAACAGGUGCUACGCAGUGGCCCAGGAAGGAACAUACUUUGACGGAAGCGGAUAUGCCGCUCUUGUCAAAGAGGGCUACAAAGUCCAGUCAGAUGUGAACAUCACACUGGAGUUUCGAACCUCCUCGCAGAAUGGCGUCCUCCUGGGGAUCAGCACUGCCAAAGUGGAUGCCAUUGGACUAGAGCUUGUGGACGGCAAGGUCUUGUUCCAUGUCAACAAUGGUGCUGGCAGGAUAACAGCUGCAUAUGAGCCCAAAACCACCACUGCGCUCUGUGAUGGAAAAUGGCACACUCUUCAGGCUAAGAAAAGCAAACACCGUAUCACUCUGAUUGUCGACGGGAACGCAGUUGGCGCUGAAAGUCCACACACCCAGUCUACCUCGGUGGACACCAACAAUCCCAUUUAUGUUGGUGGCUAUCCUGCUGGUGUGAAGCAAAAAUGCCUGCGCAGCCAGACCUCGUUCCGCGGGUGUUUGAGGAAGCUAGCUCUGAUUAAGAGCCCACAGGUGCAAUCCUUUGACUUCAGCAGAGCGUUCGAACUGCAUGGAGUUUUCCUUCAUUCCUGUCCUGGGACCGAGUCCUGAACUUCAAGCAGAAUCCUCAUUUGGAAUCAUUGCUGAUAUUUUGAGGAGAAGUGUAUGUGUGAAUUAAGAAUCUCUUCAGUUCAUAUUUCAUUUCCAACUCAGGUUAAGUGUUUCUGGGGAGAGAUGUUGUGUUUACGUUACACUAAAACCACAUGUGCAACAAAUACCUCCAUUAAAUGAUCUAAAAUGU